GGGCUGUGGCUCAGAGGCAGAACACGUGCCCGGCAUGCGGAAGGAUCCAGGUUCGACCCCAGGCAGCACCU